GACGAACGCUGGCGGCGUGCUUAACACAUGCAAGUCGUACGGUAAGGCCCUUUCGGGGGUACACGAGUGGCGAACGGGUCAGUAACACGUGAGUAACCUGCCCACAACUUUGGGAUAACGCUAGGAAACUGGUGCUAAUACUGGAUAUGUGCCCCUGCUGCAUGGUGGGGGUUGGAAAGCUCCGGCGGUUGUGGAUGGACUCGCGGCCUAUCAGCUUGUUGGUGGGGUAGUGGCCUACCAAGGCGGCGACGGGUAGCCGGCCUGAGAGGGUGACCGGCCACAUUGGGACUGAGAUACGGCCCAGACUCCUACGGGAGGCAGCAGUGGGGAAUAUUGCACAAUGGGCGCAAGCCUGAUGCAGCAACGCCGCGUGCGGGAUGACGGCCUUCGGGUUGUAAACCGCUUUCAGCAGGGACGAAGCUUUUUGUGACGGUACCUGCAGAAGAAGCACCGGCUAACUACGUG
rnacentral:rRNA from 1 species